CAAAUCGAUUGAUUUCUCGUCGAGUCCUCUGGGUGCGCCCAAUCGCAGAUUUUACCCUCCCUAUCAGAAGUUGCCUAACCCAUCUGUACUGCAUUUAAGGUUUUUUUAGCAGUUAUCAGAAGUUGCCUCACCCAUCUGUACUGCAUUUAAGGUUUUUUAGCAGUGGUACUUGACCCUGAAAGCAUUGUUCGACUUGAGGAGUUUCGAGCAAUUCUGCAUUAAUUUGACUAAUGAAAAGUUGCAGCAACAUUUCAACCAGUAUGUCUUCAAAAUGGAACAAGAAGAGUAUACCAAAGAGGAAAUUGACUGGAGUUAUAUAGAGUUUGUUGAUAACCAAGAUAUUCUUGAUCUUAUAGAAAAGAUAAAGAGAGUGCAAAUCUAUUUGGAGAAGAGAUAUACAAACCGGUCAUGGAAACUAUCAGUUUGGAAAUGAAACAACAAGAGAUUGAUGGGAGAUGUAUACAGAUCAGGAAUCUGCAGUACAAAUAGGGGAAACUGUUCCGCUGUUAAGUUCUUC